rnacentral:lncRNA from 1 species
CUGUACCUGUUGACCUCAUCUGGGCUGCAGUUGGUGACUGCUCGAAGGGGUGGGAGGAACAGUAUAAAGUCCUGUCCCCUUCCUGCCUUCAAGGGCACCCCUGAAGGACCAUAUCCACUGUGGACCCCCUUGGGAUCAGCCGAGUGACUCGAAGGAAUUGGGUCUUGAGACACAGCCGAGCCUGUGAGCGCUGACCUGUGUAAAGAAGACACCAGAAUGAGAUGUCUCCACACACAGAGAGCUGCAGCCGAUGCCGGCCGGUGACUUGGGACUUGGAUGCUUAACAGGAGGCUCCCCCUCUCUUGGGAGGUAGAGAGCAGUGAGGAAGGGGACUCAGCCUCCAUGCCUCCCGCCAGCCCAGCUGCGCCCGAAUCACCUCCCUCCUGAAAGGAUGUCAGCCUCUGCUUGGACACCGUGGAGACAGGGCCCUCCUUGUGCUUCAGAAGCAUCAACGUGUCAGAAAAUCAUCUUCACGCCAAGUCUGGAAAAAAUGGCUUUGAGGUUGUGCACACAAAGGAAGGAGGGAGAGCCCCAGGUGUCGCGGAGGACCAUGCGGCUGACAGAGCCAGCAGGGCGGUGGCGUGUGAGCCGUGCUCUGGAUAUAUAAGGAUCUGACGCUGCUGGCAAUGUCUGAGCUCUAUGCUCGCCCAUCUGUCGGCUGCUAUCAUCACCGGGUGGGAUUAGCGGAGAUCCACUCUUUCAUAUUUAAAUCUUCACAAGAGAAUGAAUCACUUUUAUAAUAAAAGAAAAAGACCGUC